rnacentral:tRNA from 1 species
CAGGGAGACAACAAAAUGUAAAUAUUAAUUUUGUCACCUUAGGUCGAUCGGUAUCUCAGAUUCUUAUUUUUUAAGAAUUUCAGUUUCUAAGUUUUUUCUAGGUCACACCCAUCACUUUUUCCUGGGCCAUUAGCUCAGGUGGUUAGAGCGCACCCCUGAUAAGGGUGAGGUCCCUGGUUCAAGUCCAGGAUGGCCCAUAUCUCUAUGUUGGGGGUAUAGCUCAGUUGGUAGAGCGCCUGCUUUGCAAGCAGGAUGUCAGCGGUUCGAGUCCGCUUACCUCCACUGAAUACCACCUCUUACAUAUAUUUAAAGAGGGAAAUUGUUUUGAGUCGUGUCCUAUUUUGCUCUGAGCGAAUCUAGCCUCCUAUUUUAUUAAAUAAAUAAGAUGCUGGACUCAUUGAAUCUUUUUCAUUGUUUUCAGAGAACCUUGACAACUGCAUAGAUUAUUUUUGAAGACAAUAAGCAUCUUUAAUGAUGCAGAUUUAUUAUUUGUGCGAAUGCAUUAAAUAACAAUUUUAUUAAGUUGAUGCUUCAAUUAUUGAAGUUAUU